rnacentral:lncRNA from 1 species
UAUGUGGAAAUUUGGCCUGCUGUGACAGUGACCGCGUUCCUCCUCCUCGCAGGCGAUGUCAAGAUCAAGCCGCUGAACUACAAGCGGCUGUCGCGAGCCACCUCCUUCCCACGGCACGUGGUGAAGGACUGCGUGCAAGAGACCAUCCUCUUGUACUCUUCCCAACUGAAGAACGGGCAGCGCCUCUCCUUCGCCUUCAAGGACAUUGGUGUUCUGUCCUGCAACGACGACCUCCUGUGCAUGCGGUUCUAUUCUGACUGCGUCACAGGGCUGGAGAGCAAGGCCAGCCAGAUUGCGCUGCUUCACACUGUAAGUUGCUGGAGGUUUUGAGGGCUGCUCCCGUGUCUUUGGGAAGCCUAAUGAAGGGUGAGCAACCCGGUCGCCGUUGGCCAGCCUGGACGUGGCAGGACGGUCAAACACCUUUCGCCGUGCUUGCCCCCGCUGACUUCUCCAUUAGCAAAGAAAGUUUCUUCUGGGUCCUUGCCCUACAAAAAGCCCAGCGGUGUUAUUGCGCGGUCUCAGUGUUGGCUGUGCAGCUUCUCCAGAGCAGAGCAAGGGCUAACGCUGAUGGAGGAGGAUUUGGCAGAGAGGUUUGGAGAAGUGGCUUGCUUUUGGAGUGGGAGACAGGUCUGCUUCCUUUGGGAGCCAAGAGGAAACUGCCUUGGAAACCUUCUAACAGCUCUGUGUCACUUUGCAGAGGCUGUGGACGCCAGGGGCAGCUGUCUCCGGUGGAGCGACCGCCGCCCAGGAGAUGCAGGCUGCUCCUGCCCACGCGUUCCCGAGGUUUCAGUUCCUGGUGAUCAGCAGAUCGGCGUCCAAGGCUUUCUCCACCUGGCACAAGAAGGUUGCAGAAAAGCACAGGGUCAGAAGAGGUACGGGAAGGGGUCCCUGCUGUCCAGAGCCCGGUUCAAACGCACUCCCCACGGGGCUGCUCUGAAGAGCUUCCUCCUUUCCCAGGUACAGAGGGAAGCCAGGUGCCUGACAAGCUGCUGCAGAGGCGGGUGAAGUAUUCCCUCCCCGCGCUGCCAAACCAGGGGCCGGGCACCAGGCAGCAAGACACGGAGAAGAAGCCUUCUGCCGGGUGAGACCCCUGUGGGAAGGGAUGAAAGGCACCCUUGCGCCCACGUAGGAGAGGCG